AACAAAUUGAUCUCUGCAGUACACUGGACAUUUGGCAUAAUGAGGAAUGAGAUCUGUCUACAGUAGGAGCAGAAGGGACGUUUGGACCUACUGCCAGCAGGCUGUAACAGACAGAUGGGUUUUCACACAAACAACAGAAAACAUCAAGAGCAGUCAGGCUGGCUGGCACACAGAAGAAGAAUCAGCAAAGGGGAGAAAGUCUGGAUAAUGAGGCACUGCUAACAGGAGAUGAUCAUUCACUUUGUGCUGUGAGAAGACAAACUGUCCACUCCGUAGUUGCAAAAGUCAUAUGGAUAUUUGGUACGCAAGCUGUGAUCUGACUGCAGGGAAACAUAAUAACCAGCAGAUGGCAGGCAAGCAUCAGAAUCCUUUUGACAUGAAGGCAUCAGAACCGCAUAUCAAUGAAGUUUUGCAAGCAAAUGUCAAAACCAAGAAAGACAGCAAGGAGACCGCUGAUUUACACGGUCACAUUCUGAUUGCACUUCUCAUCCUUUCAUCUCCAAACAUCUUUCAGAUCUUUAUUAUACAGGCAUCAGCACAUUGGCGCCAUAUGCUCAGCUAUUUCCAUCAAUGCUGCCAUUAAGCCUCUAUUUUGUUUCAUCUCGGUCCUGAACCCAGCACUCCUUUCUCCCAAACACUGAAUAAUCCAUCCUGAUUGGCCGUUCAGGGGGUCAUUAUUUCUGGGUCUAGGAUUUGGGACUUCUGUUUCACAUGUCACUGAAACUCUGUCAUAUUCAUGUCAUCGUUUGGCGGCCGCAGCUUAUGAUGGGAUUUAUUUGGACAGCUAAAGCCAAAUUCAUGAAAUAUGUCAUGCUGUGGGUUAGUCUUUUUAUAAUUGCAUUCAAAACUAUUGCCCAGACAUAAGACAGUUAUAUUAAGUCUGUGAUAAUAGUAAAAAUGAUGUUAGAAAAAGGCUUAUUGCUGUUGAUUUUCUUAUUAAAAUGUUGUUUUAAUUUGUAAGUACAAAAAGAACAAGAAUUGUAUUAUCUGUCGAGUUUGAUUUGCACUUUCAGGGAUUAAUAUAUUAAUGAAUGUUUUUGUUGGUGUUCACAUGUAAAAGAGAUUUCUCGAUUACUAAAUUGUUUGGCAUUUGGCAAUGAGAUGAACUGUGAUGUCACAAAUGUGGGUGGAGUCACACAUACACACCAUAUGUAGACAUUCUGGAUGGUCUUAGCAAGAAAUGGAGUUCUAGAAACGACGAAAUGGAGAGAAUGACCUUUGAGAUAUUAAGGAGGUUUUUGUUUAUUGCCCUACAUUGACUGCUAACAGGACAGCUGUGAUUAUACAAGUUGCUGUUCCUAAGAAGAAUUAUUGCCCAUUAAACAAAGCAUCACACCUGAAUUCAUCUGCUUUCAAACACUGCAUACCGUCCCUCUCAAAAAAAGAAUAAAAUCCCUCUACAGCUGAA